AACGCGAAGAACCUUACCUGGGCUCGAAAUGUAGAGGACGUUACAAGAGAUUGUAAUUCCCGAAAGGGUCUCUAUAUAGGUGCUGCAUGGCUGUCGUCAGCUCGUGCCGUGAGGUGUUUGGUUAAGUCCAGCAACGAGCGCAACCCUUAUCGUUAGUUGCCAACGCGUAAUGGCGGGAACUCUAACGAGACUGCCUAGGUUAACUAGGAGGAAGGUGAGGAUGACGUCAAGUCCGCAUGGCCUUUAUGUCCAGGGCUACACACGUGCUACAAUGGUCGGUACAGAAGGCAGCGAAACCGUGAGGUGGAGCAAAUCCUACAAAACCGAUCUCAGUUCAGAUUGCAGUCUGCAACUCGGCUGCAUGAAGUUGGAAUUGCUAGUAAUGGCGUGUCAGCAACAACGCCGUGAAUACGUUCCCGGGCCUUGUACACACCGCAUAC
rnacentral:rRNA from 1 species